UACGCGCGCCAGCUGUAGAGAAUUUUUUGCAAUGGAAGAAAGUCUGACGGCGCAACCCCGCGUGAGUGAUGAAGGCUUUCCCCUAGUAAAACUCUGUUCUUUGGGAAGAACAAGUCCUAGUUGAAUAAGCUGGCACCUUGACGGUACCUAACCAGAAAGCCACGGCUAACUACGUGCCAGCAGCCGCGGUAAUACGUAGGUGGCAAGCGUUAUCCGGAAUUAUUGGGCGUAAAGCGCGCGCAGGUGGUUUCUUAAGUCUGAUGUGAAAGCCCACGGCUCAACCGUGGAGGGUCAUUGGAAACUGGGAGACUUGAGUGCAGAAGAGGAAAGUGGAAUUCCAUGUGUAGCGGUGAAAUGCGUAGAGAUAUGGAGGAACACCAGUGGCGAAGGCGACUUUCUGGUCUGUAACUGACACUGAGGCGCGAAAGCGUGGGGAGCAAACAGGAUUAGAUACCCUGGUAGUCCACGCCGUAAACGAUGAGUGCUAAGUGUUAGAGGGUUUCCGCCCUUUAGUGCUGAAGUUAACGCAUUAAGCAUUCCGCCUGG
rnacentral:rRNA from 1 species